UAAUAUCAGAGAAUAAUUUUAGUUAUCCUGCAAAACUGAAUUAUGUUUAUUGGUUUAUUGUAUUAUCAGUAGUGAGCACUUACAAGGCAACAGAAUGCAGUUAUUUUAAAGGUGUGUGUGGGGUGGUGAUUCUUUCUAUACAUACUGUAAUUAAGAUUUGCUAAGAACUUGAGCCAGUCCAAUUUUUGUUUUUACUUUUUUUUUUUAAGAUCAAUUAUGAGUUUCUGAGAAUUACAACUGCUCCACUUCAAGCAAGAUUGCUGGUUUCCUUGGACAAGCAACACUACAAACUAAUUGAGAGAAGACCAGAGAUAUAAUCUUCAUCUUCAAGUUCUUGAUCUGAGCCUGGAGGUGAAUGUAUGAAGAGAGUAUCUCCUGAAAUGUCUUAUGGUGUAUUUAGUGGAAGAAGUGGACCAACUGUUUAAACACUGGUUGUUCAGAAAGGUGAAGCUCAGGCUGAACUUGAGAGGUGCACGAUGGCCCUGUUUGCCCUCAGGGAGGAAGAGGACUGUCUUCAGCCACCACAGGAAGUCAGUCGCACAUGAAUGUUCCAUGUUUGGCCUUAUCUAUGCGUUAAACUUGAGCUAUCCUGGUGAGCUCAAACACACAUUUGUGGCCCGGCAGAAAAUAUUUAGGGCACGUGUUCUAUAUUGGCAUUAAAAUAUUAAAUUUUGGU